UCUCUUAUGCACGGGCAUUACGAGCAGCAGUGAAGACUUUGUCUGAGCUCUUGUUUUUGCUAGUUGAAAACUAAUUUAAGACCGCUCCUACCUGGGUUCGCUCGGGUAGGGAAUCUUUGGAAACAUACUUU
rnacentral:snRNA from 1 species